rnacentral:rRNA from 1 species
CAGCCGCCGCGGUAAUACGGAGGGAGCUAGCGUUGUUCGGAAUUACUGGGCGUAAAGCGCGCGUAGGCGGUUACUCAAGUCAGAGGUGAAAGCCCGGGGCUCAACCCCGGAACUGCCUUUGAAACUAGGUGACUAGAAUCUUGGAGAGGUCAGUGGAAUUCCGAGUGCAGAGGUGAAAUUCGUAGAUAUUCGGAAGAACACCAGUGGCGAAGGCGACUGACUGGACAAGUAUUGACGCUGAGGUGCGAAAGCGUGGGGAGCAAACAGGAUUAGAUACCCCAGUAGUCCCUGUCUCUUAUAA